ACACAUAUUAGGUUUCUCAAGGAGGUCCGGAUGUUCGACAGCCUCCUAGGGCCCCGUCUUCAACUUCAGAGUUAGGUAAAGAGUUAAGAAACCAUUCCCUUUUCCUCUAGACUCAUGCAAAUGUGCAGUAAUCUACACAGCCUGGAACAUUAUAUGAGAUGACUGUUAUCAAAUCUGUUAAUCAUUUUAAGGAGCUGAACUUCAGUCAUUCUAAAACACUGCUCAUGCAAUUAAUCUUAGGUCAUUGCACCUAAACUGCUAUCAAGGAAUUGCAUGCCACCAAGAGAUAAAGUGAGGCCCAGAAAGGCUCAACUGACCGAAGUCACGGCCCUAGCCACUGCAAAGAGCACACGAGGACACCUCCCAGGCAGGUUUUACUUCCUUAACAGAGCUGAGAAACACUCAGACGCCAGAGAGCAAAAGUCAGAGCCUCCUGGGUUUCCUUCUGCAAAUCUUUCUAGACAGAACACUAGCGACCUGCUGUCAGCAGGCAUCUCCUGUGACUUGCAGUUUUCUGUGCUAGGCUAAACAAAACCGUGAGAGAACCAUGUGAUGAUGGUGACUGCAGCUCCCAGGAAUACGGUGGGCUCCGAGGGAGGCCUCUGCCUGGAAUUCACACCAGGUCUAUCUACACCCUGCUUACCCUCCCCACACAGAAGAGUGCUGGAGCCUCACCUGCUUUAGAAAUGCCACUCCGAGGACCUGCGUGCGAGUCCCUGGGAGCUUCCGCAUCCGGAGGCUGGGCAUCUACACCUCCAACGGCGUGAACGAAACUGCUUGUUAGACCCCCACCCGCUCCCUGCCACUGUGCAGCUCUCCUGGGGCAGCAGCUCAUUUUCCUGACCUUCAAGAAGCAAGUCAAUCCAGUGAUGAGAAGAAAACCCACAGGCCAAAGCGAGGCUAUGGCUUUGGACAUUGGAGUUCCUGCUCAGCUGUCCCACAUGCGUUCCUUACCACUUACUUACUUGAGAAAGGGCGUGUUAAGUUACACACACGCAUCCCUGAAGAGUUCACACUCAAGCCAACACUCCUCACAGGAUGUUAGAACACGUCUCGGCAAGAUACAGAGUGUGACAAUGUACAAUCUCGGUGCUGCAGGAAGCUGUCCCAUUUAGAAGAUGGAACACACUAAUAAAAUGCCCAACCAAAGUUCUGCCGACUGAAGGGGAGUAUCAAAGCAAGGACAUAACUGUGAGGAAAGCCGAUGAUGGCGUUACUUUUGUUUUAAAGAAACUCACUCACCUGCCUUCUGGCAAUGCACAAUCUUUUCAUACACAGCAUCUGCAUUUUCAAUCAGU